CAAAUAGGCUCUCCUGCAAUCUCAAACUUGCUUAUACUUUAACUCAUAUAUGGUUAGGUUUCAAACACGUGGGAGAGACAGAAGAACCCUAGGAAUUUAGAGAUGGAACUUGAUAAAGGCAUUUCUCAGAAGAAUUUCAGACAGCAGGAACUUGACUUCAAAGGUUGGUGUGACGUGGGCAGACACAGAGGGGGAAGCACAGCCCAAGUACGAGCGGACGGCAGGAUGGGUGGAGGCAGCAAUGCAAUGGAGUGAGGAGAGGAAGUGUGGGUGAGUCAGCAGAAGGAUGUGAUGAGGCGGAGAAUGGGGGCACUCGCGUGGGGACAGAGGAAAGGCAGGAAGACUAUGGAAAUGAUGUUAGACAAAAAGCAAAUUCAAGCAAUAUUCUUAUUUGAGUUCGAAAUGGGUCAUAAAGACAACUCACAACAUCAACAAUGCAUUUGGUCUGAGAACUGCUAAUGAAUGUACAGUGCAAUGGUGGUUCAAGAAGUUUUGCCAAGGAGAUGAGAGCCUUGAAGAUGAGGAGCGUAGUGGCUGGCCAUUGGAAAGUGACAACGACCAUUUGAGAGUAGUCAUUGAAGCUGAUCCUCUUACAAGUACAAGAGAAGUUGCCCAAGAACUCAGUGUCAAUCAUUCUAUAGUGUUCAGCAUUUGAAGCAAAUUGGAAAGGUGAAAAAGGUCAAUAAGUGGGUGCCUCAUGAGCUGACUGAAAAUACAAAAAUCAUCUUUUUGAAGUGUCAUCUUCCAUUGUUCUAUGCAACAACAACAAACUAUUUCUCGAUCAGAUUGUGAUAUGCAACGAAAAGUGGAUUUUAUAUGACAACUGGCAAUGACCAGCUCAGUGGCUGGCCUGAGAAGAAGUUCCAAAGCACUUCCCAAAGCCAAGCUUGCACCAAAAAAAGGUCAUGGCCACUGUUUGGUGGUCUGUUGCUGGUCUGAUCCACUACAGCUUUCUGAAUCUCACUGCAACUGUUACAUCUGAGAAGUAUGCUCAGCAAAUCAAUGAGAUGCACUGAAAACUGCAAUGCCUGCAGCUAGCACUGGUCAACAAAAAGGGCCCAAUUCUUUUCCACAACGCCUGACUGCACAUCACACAACCAGUGCAUCAGAAGUUGAAUGAAUUGGGCCAUGAAGUUUUGCCUCAACCGCCACAUUCAUCUGACCUCUGCCAACCAACUACUACUUCCUCAAGCAUCUCAACAACUUUUUGCAGGGAAAAUGCUUCCACAACCAGCAGGAUGCAGAAAAUGCUUUUCAAGAGUUCAUUGAAUCCUGAAGCACGGAUUUCUAUACUACAGUAAUGAAAAAAUGUAUUUCUCAUUGGCAAAAAUGUGUGGAUUGUAAUGGUUCCUAUUCUGAUUAAUAAAGAUGUGUUUAAGCCUCGUU
rnacentral:lncRNA from 1 species